CUGGCUCAGGAUGAACGCUAGCUACAGGCUUAACACAUGCAAGUCGAGGGGCAGCAUGGUCUUAGCUUGCUAAGGCUGAUGGCGACCGGCGCACGGGUGAGUAACGCGUAUCCAACCUUCCCCAUAGUAGGGGAUAGCCCGGCGAAAGUCGGAUUAAUACCCUAUGUUAUUCGAUGCAGACAUCUAAGUUGAAUCAAAGGUUUACCGCUAUGGGAUGGGGAUGCGUCUGAUUAGGUUGCAGGCGGGGUAACGGCCCACCUGGCCUACGAUCAGUAGGGUUCUGAGAGGAACGGUCCCCCACAUUGGAACUGAGACACGGUCCAAACUCCUACGGGAGGCAGCAGUGAGGAAUAUUGGUCAAUGGACGAGAGUCUGAACCAGCCAAGUAGCGUGCAGGACGACCGGCCCUAGUGGGUUAGUAAACUGUCUUUUAUGGCGGGGAUAAAGUGAGGGACGUGUCCCUUUUUGUAGGUACCGCAUGAAUAAGGACCGGCUAAUUCCGUGCCAGCAGCUGC
rnacentral:rRNA from 1 species